AGUUGAUUCUAGAGGAAAUCAGUUAAUUAUUCUCCCUCUCAAGAUUUACUUGGAAACUCUCAUCUUUAUAGACAGGACAAUUUUGUCUCCAAAAUGAAUCAGUUCUUUGUCUGUGCAUGAUGAUAGAAUAACUUUAAUCCUAAAAGAAAGGACUUGAAUAUCUCAGUCAUUGCUGUUGGUUUCAUAGCUUGCCAUCUUUUUGAAGA
rnacentral:misc_RNA from 1 species